UACGUAGGGUGCGAGCGUUAAUCGGAAUUACUGGGCGUAAAGCGUGCGCAGGCGGUUUUGUAAGUCUGAUGUGAAAGCCCCGGGCUCAACCUGGGAAUUGCAUUGGAGACUGCAAGGCUUGAAUCUGGCAGAGGGGGGUAGAAUUCCACGUGUAGCAGUGAAAUGCGUAGAGAUGCGGAGGAACACCGAUGGCGAAGGCAAUCCCCUGGGCCUGCACUGACGCUCAUGCACGAAAGCGUGGGGAGCAAACAGG
rnacentral:rRNA from 1 species